AAGAGACCAACCCCACUCUACGUACCUUUCAGAUAUUGGAAGAGAACAAUAAGAUCUCUGUUUGACUGAUCCCAGCUUCUCUACUGUAGCAUCCUUCUGCCCUCUAAACUCCUUCUCUUAGGCCAUUUUAUAUUAUUUCUUACUUUCAGGUGGAGCUUGAGUGACUCUAGUCAAACAUACUUUGUCUUGCAAAGUUUACUUGAAAACAUGCUUUUGUUAGAAAGAUGGAAAACUGCUGGCUCAGAGUUGGCUCAGGAAAACAAGUUUAUCAGUUCCAAAAGUAUCAUAAAGUCCUAAUUCCUGCAGGAUGAUCACAGGGUUUGGGCAUUAUAUGUGUCUCCAUGCUACUCCAACUCCAUCUUGCUUUUAUUUUUCUGUUUGAGUCAACAUACCAGGCUCCCCUACUAUUUGCUAACAGCUAAUGUUUGCAGGUCUUAUGUUGCUUAGGGAAUGGAUCAUCCAGCGCAUUCCACGUUGGAGGUUUCACCUUCUUUCAAGGUGGACAUGUCAGUAAGCCACCUUCAGCAAAUAUUCCACACAGGUCCAACCAGCCCAACCAACACCCAGAACAGGGUGACCAGGCUCAUGUCCAGAAGACUUCUGAAAAUCUCCAAGGAGGAGACUUCUGGACCAAAGGAAGCUUGUCCUGCUACCUGGCUUUGCUAGGGCUCUUCAGUACCAGCUGCAUGCUGUCUUACUGUGACUUAGAGAAAUGAGACCUCAUAAGUACAAAACAAUGUGCUGCUAGUCAUUAUUUGAAGAAUGACAAGUUACAUGGUGAGAGUAGGAUUGCAUCAGGUCAAUUCACUCAGUAUGCUUGAAAACUCUGGAGCCUCACGGGCCAGAGAGCCUUUACAAAGCCAAGUGAGGAAGACACUGCCACAGGCCUCAUUGACAGCUUGAGGAUAAGUGUUUUGGGAAGAUUACCUCAUUACUAGCGCACAGCUAGGAGUAGUGAGUACUCUUCUAUUGUUACCAGAUUUCUCUUGCACAUAUUUUCUUGCUGAUGGAGAUGCAUGCAGAGGAGGCAAUGCUCUAGCCAAACAGAGCUGAAUGGUUUUUCUUUUGUCUAAUUUUGUUUUUGUAGACUUCAAUUAGCUUUGUAUUCUACUGUGUUUUCAUUUUCAAAGUGCAACUGUUGACAGAAAAUAUUAUUAAGCUGGGCUUUUCUUUGAGGGAAAAAGCAAGACAAGUAGGUAAAUCUCAGAAUACACUGUAAGAAUAGUAGAAUUUAUUUUAAAUACAAGAUAAAGAAAAAUGUCUAGCUCCAAUAACAGUGAGGUGUAUUUAGAUUAUUUUAAAUUGUGCUAUAUUACUGGCAUUUAGAGAUGAAGUGAUAAUUAAAUACAUAUGCUUGUUGAGAAUGUGAUAAUUAGUAUCUGCCAGAGUUAACUUGAUGAAAAAUAAAACAAUAUAUAUUGCGUGUUAGCAGUGGUUGCAUUAAAUGAUUUUGGUUUGUACAUUUGCAAUAAAUCUACAAAUUCUUCAAG
ensembl:lncRNA